rnacentral:lncRNA from 1 species
AGAAACCACUAGAGAACAUAAGCCCAUCUGACUUAAUUGGGACUUAAGCACAUGCUUAAAAUUAAGAAUGUCGUUAAGUGCUCUGAUAAAUUAGGGCCAUUGGGAACAUCUCUACAUUGGCUGGGGUGAAAUUCCCCCAGUACAGAUGAGCCAGCUAAACUUCUAGAGUGCAUUUAAGCCCGUAGCAUGAAACUUAAAUGGACUUGUAAUUCCGCUGCCCAGGGGUGAAUGAAUUUCAGCUAGAUAAAUAAUUUUUUCCAAUUUCUAGCUGCUAUGAUUUGAGGAUAAACUGAUGUCUUCAUCAGUUUUGUAAGUUAAAAUAGUUCUGGUGAGUGACACGUCUACUUGCAUUUUGCUUUGUUUUCAAAGUGAGAUUGAGAGGCUUUCUGGCGAGAUAUCUAAUUACUUAAAUGUCACCAAUUUCUGGUAUGAAGAGUCAGAGCUUUUGAAUGGCCCAGAUAAGAGAGCACCGAGGGAAUCGACCAAACAUGUGAGCACUCAGACAGAGGGCGCCCUUGGAUCGGAGAAAAGGACUGUUGCAACUCAGACUGGUGAAGAUAGCUCAAGCUGCAUAGUUGAAGAGUCAUUGGCACAGGAUGAGUCUGAAUGGUAGAAGAACAAUUUCACUUUAAUUAGUCUGGCUACUGGACAACAUAUUUGACAUUGUUUCACAUUUAACUCUUAUUGAACAAAUUAUUCA